rnacentral:rRNA from 1 species
CCUACGGGUGGCAGCAGUGGGGAAUAUUGGGCAAUGGGCGCAAGCCUGACCCAGCAACGCCGCGUGAAGGAAGAAGGCUUUCGGGUUGUAAACUUCUUUUAUUGAGGACGAAACAAAUGACGGUACUCAAUGAAUAAGCCACAGCUAACUACGUGCCAGCAGCCGCGGUAAUACGUAGGUGGCAAGCGUUAUCCGGAUUUACUGGGUGUAAAGGGCGUGUAGGCGGGACUGCAAGUCAGAUGUGAAAACCAUGGGCUCAACCCAUGGCCUGCAUUUGAAACUGUAGUUCUUGAGUGAUGGAGAGGCAGGCGGAAUUCCGUGUGUAGCGGUGAAAUGCGUAGAUAUACGGAGGAACACCAGUGGCGAAGGCGGCCUGCUGGACAUUAACUGACGCUGAGGCGCGAAAGCGUGGGGAGCAAACAGGAUUAGAUACCCUUGUAGUC